rnacentral:rRNA from 1 species
AGCGAACGCUGGCGGCAGGCCUAACACAUGCAAGUCGAACGAACCUUUCGGGGUUAGUGGCGGACGGGUGAGUAACACGUGGGAACGUGCCUUUAGGUUCGGAAUAACUCAGGGAAACUUGUGCUAAUACCGAAUGUGCCCUUCGGGGGAAAGAUUUAUCGCCUUUAGAGCGUCCCGCGUCUGAUUAGCUAGUUGGUUGAGGUAAUGGCUCACCAAGGCUACGAUCAGUAGCUGGUCUGAGAGGAUGAUCCGACACUUUGGGACGGAGCCACGGCCCAAACUCCUACGCGAGGGAGGAAUGGGGGAUCUUGCGCCAUGGCGGAAAGCAUGAAGGAGCCAUGAUGGGUAAAUGAUGUAGGUAGUAAAGAUGAAAAAUUCUUUCAACGGGGAAGAUCAUGACGGUACCCGGUGAAGAAGCCCCGGCUAACUUCGUG